AGUGAACGCUGGCGGUAGGCCUAACACAUGCAAGUCGAACGGCAGCACAGGAGAGCUUGCUCUCUGGGUGGCGAGUGGCGGACGGGUGAGGAAUACAUCGGAAUCUACUUUUUCGUGGGGGAUAACGUAGGGAAACUUACGCUAAUACCGCAUACGACCUACGGGUGAAAGCAGGGGACCUUCGGGCCUUGCGCGAUUGAAUGAGCCGAUGUCGGAUUAGCUAGUUGGCGGGGUAAAGGCCCACCAAGGCGACGAUCCGUAGCUGGUCUGAGAGGAUGGUCAGCCAGACUGGAACUGAGACACGGUCCAGACUCCUACGGGAGGCAGCAGUGGGGAAUAUUGGACAAUGGGCGCAAGCCUGAUCCAGCCAUACCGCGUGGGUGAGGAAGGCCUUCGGGUUGUAAAGCCCUUUUGUUGGGAAAGAAAUCCAGCUGGCUAAUACCCGGUUGGGAUGACGGUACCCAAAGAAUAAGCACCGGCUAACUUCGUGCCAGCCGCCGCAGUAA
rnacentral:rRNA from 1 species